rnacentral:tRNA from 1 species
GGACGUGUGGCCGAGUGGUCUAAGGCGCUCGCUUCAGGUGCGGGUCUCGCAAGAGGCGUGGGUUCGAACCCCACCGCGUUCA